AGAAGAGCAGCGAGUCCUGCCGGGCUUCACCGACGACCCAGCACAGGAUUUGCCGGACGCCAGGCCCAAUUCUUGGCAGCGCUUUUCACCUGUAGGGAUGCAUAUCAUACCAAGAAUUCUCCUAACACCUUGUCAACCCCCACCCACCCAGCCAGCCCCACCCCUCUCCCUCAGUACUCAAGGGAUUACUGGAAGCCCACAAUUCUGAAUUUGGAGUGUGGAGAGCAGGUCCAGACCCGUUGCUGCUUCCUCAAGAGUGUUUUAUGGGACAGAAACAAACUGCUGACACCUGCCGAAGCACAUCCCAGAAACUGCUCCAUAUGGAGAUGGAAGAAAAGGGUGUGUGCUUGAGUCCAUCGUACCACAUGUCAUGAAGAGGAUCAAAGGCAAAGAGAAGAAAUUCAAACCCUCUUCAAAGUGAAAACUACAAAGGGAAAUUAUGAUAAACCAUGUGGUACCACCUCUCCAUUUCCUUCCUCUCCAGCUCUCCGUCCCUGCGGAAACAGGUGGACACAUCUCACCCUCUAAACAGCUUCCACGUCUCCGGAUAAAUAUUAGAGGAGAGGAUCUGAGGUCUGAAAAGUCAACAUUGGCCAUAAGGACACUCCGAGGAGAGCAGUUCAAUCUUACAUGUGCAUACUUUUUUUUUUCUUUCAUUCACAAGGUGACAUUAGAAUUCUAAACCAAGCUGACAGACAGUAGUAGCAGUUUAUAUAACUUCACUCUAAUGUUGGCUCUGUUUUUGUUCCCCACCAAUUACAGUCGAGCCAGAUGUGUGUAUCAUGUGGGUUCAUGUAAGUUAUAACCUUUUUCCUUUUUUAACACGUCUACGUGGGCUUUUUAAACACAGGAAAGUCUUCUAAGAAUAGACGAUAGACAGAUUAACAGUCAACCUUUCUAUUUUUUUGUUCUUGUGCGUCAUGUUGUACGUUAUGAAUACGUCAUGACCACGCCGGAAAGAAGGCUGAGUAAACAAGGAAAUUGUUACAGUGGUUACUAUUUUUUCAAUUCAAACCAAAGUUGGUGAAUGAUGGAAAGGUGACACACUAACACUAACAAAGAGUUUUUUUGUUGAAAUGAAGUGUGUUUUACACUGAUGAGUGAGGUCAAAUGAAUGUUUCUGUCAAUGGAGUCUUCUAACCUUGAGGAGAACAUAUCACUGCUCUUUCUUUCCACAUCUAAGUAUGUGAAACGCUCAAAUGUUGGAACCAAUAACAGAAAAGGUUUUGAGGUGGGUGUUAUGUUUCUAUGUCACUGCAGAUCGAAGCUGGCCAUCAAUGCAGAGUCUUUUGAAACACAAAUGAAUUUGGUUAAUAGUAAAGGGUAUAUAGUUUGCCGAAAAAAGCUAAAUGGCUCCGGUGAUGGACACAAGGUCGGUGAAAUCAAAACAAUGAGCCAAAAUGUCUUAAAGGGCUUUAUAGAGAUUAUCCUUGGUGGGUUUGUCCCUGCGAGGGAGUUCUUUCAAACAAAGGAGCAGUUGAUGGGCCACUGUGGGUGCAGAGCCCAGUCAUCUUCUAUUCAAAGCAUUGGCCAUUCGAUCCCAGGCCCUGCUAACCAGCGUGUCCAUGUGUCCUCGGGCAAGACACUUAAGCCAACACUGAUCCUCUAUCUGUGACUAUGGUUUGUGAAUGGGUGGAUGUUAGUUACUGAUGAGCAGGUAAGCACUGUGUAUGGCUCCUGUCAUCAGCGUGUGAUGUUAAAGCGUCAACUGGAACACGCUAUACAAGUA